GCAGCACAUAAACAGUGAUAUUUGGGUGUCUGGGAAUGAACAGGAUGCCGGGGAACCUUGUCUACAGGUGUGCAUGUUGGCUUGAUGGAUUCUGCUCCCUGACACACAGCUGGACCAUUGAAUGCAGAAAUCAGAGGCUCUGGACUCCAAAGAUGUCUUUAAGAUAAUGCGUCUACUGGCAGUCUACUGUGGACAGCUUGUGCUUUCCUCUGCUCACCAUCCCUCCCAUCUUUUCCCAGAAAGAGGGCCUCCUUCCUAUAAGAAGUAUAUGAAAAGCUAUGGCAAACCUGGACAGCUUAUUAAAAAGCAGAGACAUCAUUUUGCCAACAAAGGCCUGUAUAGUCAAAGCUAUGGUUUUUCCAGUAGUCAUCUGAGAGUUUAACCAUAAAGAAAGUUGAGCACUGAAGAAUUGAUGCUUUCAAAUUGUGGUGCUGGAGAAGAUUCUAGAGCAUCUCUCAUACUGCAAAGAGAUCAAACCAGUCAAUCUUAAAGGAAAUCAACCCUGAAUAUUCAUUGGAAGGACUGAUGCUGAAGCUCCAAUACUUUGGCCACCUCAUGCAAAGAGCCUACUCAGUGGAAAAGACCCUGAUGCUAGGAAAGGUAUCAGACAAAAUGAGUAGGGGACGACAGAGGAUGAGUUGGUUGGAUGGCAUCACCGACUCAACGGACAUGAGUUUGAGCAAACUCCGGGAGAUGGUGAAAGACAGGGAAGCCUGGCGUGCUGCAGUCCAUGGGGUUGCAAAGAGUUGGACGUGACUGAGUGAACAACAACAAUGAUCUCCUCCUUUCUGUAGGAGUCCAACAUGGGUCACUCCUUGUUCUCCUUUCUGUGAUCAACACAGAGAUGGCAUAGGUCCCAGGGAGAUAAUCCUGUGAUUCCUAUGUGGGCUCCAGGAGAAAGAUUUUGUCCCUGUUCUGGACUCCCGAGGCUGAGAUAUUGGAAACCUGCAUCUUAUUGGGGUGGUACAUCGCUGAACCCUGCCACAGGGAGGAGAGAGGAUGACAGUGUACAUUACCAGGGAAUUAUAUCGACCGAUGGAAGGACUAAUGCUGAGAGACAAAGGGAGAGAAUUCUGACUGCAUCUGAACUUGAGUUGUUGGGAUUCUGGACUCAGCACCAAACUUCUCACUGAAAAUGAGUGAACAAAUUCCAGUUUUUGCUUAAGUGACUUUGAAAUGUGCC
rnacentral:lncRNA from 1 species